rnacentral:rRNA from 1 species
AGUGAACGCUGGCGGUAGGCCUAACACAUGCAAGUCGAACGGCAGCACAGUAAGAGCUUGCUCUUACGGGUGGCGAGUGGCGGACGGGUGAGGAAUACAUCCGAAUCUACUUUUUCGUGGGGGAUAACGUAGGGAAACUUACGCUAAUACCGCAUACGACCUACGGGUGAAAGCAGGGGAUCUUCGGACCUUGCGCGAUUGAAUGCGCCGAUGUCGGAUUAGCUAGUUGGCGGGGUAAAGGCCCACCAAGGCGACGAUCCGUAGCUGGUCUGAGAGGAUGAUCAGCCACACUGGAACUGAGACACGGUCCAGACUCCUACGGGAGGCAGCAGUGGGGAAUAUUGGACAAUGGGCGCAAGCCUGAUCCAGCCAUACCGCGUGGGUGAAGAAGGCCUUCGGGUUGUAAAGCCCUUUUGUUGGGAAAGAAAAGCAGCAGGUUAAUACCCCGCUGUUCUGACGGUACCCAAAGAAUAAGCACCGGCUAACUUCGUG